rnacentral:rRNA from 1 species
CAAGACCUGCACUUUUGGAGCGGCCGAUGUCUGAUUAGCUAGUUGGUGGGGUAAUGGCCUACCAAAGCUUCGAUCAGUAGCUGGUCUGAGAGGACGGCCAGCCACACUGGGACUGAGACACGGCCCAGACUCCUACGGGAGGCAGCAGUGGGGAAUUUUGGACAAUGGGCGCAAGCCUGAUCCAGCCAUGCCGCGUGAGUGAAGAAGGCCUUCGGGUUGUAAAGCUCUUUCAGCCGGGAAGAAAAGGUUGCGACUAAUAAUCGCAAUCCAUGACGGUACCGAAAGAAGAAGCACCGGCUAACUACGUGCCAGCAGCCGCGGUAAUACGUAGGGUGCGAGCGUUAAUCGGAAUUACUGGGCGUAAAGGGUGCGCAGGCGGCUUUGUAAGUCAGAUGUGAAAUCCCCGGGCUUAACCUGGGAACU